rnacentral:rRNA from 1 species
AUUGAACGCUGGCGGCAGGCCUAACACAUGCAAGUCGAGCGGAUGACGGGAGCUUGCUCCUUGAUUCAGCGGCGGACGGGUGAGUAAUGCCUAGGAAUCUGCCUGGUAGUGGGGGACAACGUUUCGAAAGGAACGCUAAUACCGCAUACGUCCUACGGGAGAAAGCAGGGGACCUUCGGGCCUUGCGCUAUCAGAUGAGCCUAGGUCGGAUUAGCUAGUUGGUGAGGUAAUGGCUCACCAAGGCGACGAUCCGUAACUGGUCUGAGAGGAUGAUCAGUCACACUGGAACUGAGACACGGUCCAGACUCCUACGGGAGGCAGCAGUGGGGAAUAUUGGACAAUGGGCGAAAGCCUGAUCCAGCCAUGCCGCGUGUGUGAAGAAGGUCUUCGGAUUGUAAAGCACUUUAAGUUGGGAGGAAGGGCAGUAAGCUAAUACCUUGCUGUUUUGACGUUACCGACAGAAUAAGCACCGGCUAACUCUGUGCCAGCCGCCGCGGUAAUAC